rnacentral:misc_RNA from 1 species
GAUGAAGAACGUAGCGAAUUGCGAUAUGUAAUGUGAAUUGCAGAAUUCAGUGAAUCAUCGAAUCUUUGAACGCACCUUGCACCCUUUGGUAUUCCGAAGGGUAUGCCUGUUUGAGUGUCAUUAAAUUCUCAACUUCAAAGGUUACUUGUUAGCUUUUGAAGCUUGGACUUUGGAGGGUUAUUGCAGGCAUUACACAAUGUCAGCUCCUCUUAAAUGCAUUAGCAGAACUUUCAAGGACUCGGCUUAUUGGUUUGAUAAUACGUAUCUAUGCCAUUACCGUGGACUUCAAUUUUGUUCAGCUUCUAAUGGUAUUAGGACUGUCUCUUAGGAGGCAUACACUUUAAGCUUGACCUCAAAUCAGGUAGGACUACCCGCUGAACUUAAGCAUAUCAAUAAGCGGAGGA